rnacentral:tmRNA from 1 species
GGGGAUGCAACGGUUUCGACAGGGAAUGUGAAGUAUGGUAAGCGAGUAGAGGAGAUGCCAGCUCUAUAAAAGGCAUACCUAAAUUUUAAACGCUAAAAAUAAUAAUAGCUAUAACGAACUUUGCGCAGCUUAAUUAAGCUUGCCCGUCUUAGGAUGACCUGACCACCCGUCGCCUAACACGCUUAUUUUAUUUGUGGUGAACUUUAUCCAGGGUGCCUUGACUGGAAUAAGGUCUAAUGAAGGCUUAUCCUGGCAACAGUUUGUCUGUUAAUAGUUUCCAGGAGACAUUCUUUAACAGACUACACUCGUAGAAAACUAUAUGAAUCGUUUUUUGGACACGGGUUCGACUCCCGUCAUCUCCACCA